UAAUGGGGCGUUUUUUUUAAAAAAAAUUGCCCCAAAACGCCCUAAAACGCCCAACCCCCCACUACAGGGGGCGUUUUCCGGCGUGAUUUUCGAAAAAAAUCCCGUUCGGCGUUUAAAUUAUAACGCUGCCACCAUCUUUCGACCCCCAUCUUUCGACCGUUGCCAUCUUUCGACCCCCCAUCUUUCGACCGUUGACAUCUUUCGACCCCCCAUCUUUCGACCGUUGCCAUCUUUCGACCCCCCAUCUUUCGACCCCCCAUCUUUCGAAUGGGGCAUUAUGGGGCAUUAUACCCACUACACCACUUUUGCUAUAAUGCCCCCUUGCUGACUAGGACGCCACAUGGCGCAAAACGCCCCAUGGUGGGGGCAUUAUAGUGUUCUACCACUAUACAUGGUCUAACUGAUCAUUCUCUUUUUCUGAUUUUAUUUUAUUUACAUUUUUUUUCUUUUUGUUUCUCAAUUCUAACAUUUUUAUUUUUUUUUUGUUUCAUAUAAACUGGUUUAGUGUUAUGUUUUUUUUUUUUUAAAACUGGAUUGGAUAUUGGAUUGGUAUUUGGUGGUCUUAUUGGUUUAGACGUUUAGUGUUUGGAUUGGAUGAAUUGGUUUUAAACAUUGAAAUUUGGAUGAAUUGUUCUACUCUCUAG
rnacentral:lncRNA from 1 species